GAUAAACGCUGGCGGCGUGCCUAACACAUGCAAGUCGAACGCUCUUUUCUUCCGCAAGGAGGCAAAGGGAGUGGCGGACGGGUGAGGAACACGUGGGUGACCUACCUUUCAGUGAGGAAUACCGGCGAGAAAUCGCCGACAAGACCGCAUAGGGUUCCCUCUUCGGUGAGGGAAGCAAAGCUCUGCAAAGGGCGCUGGAAGAUGGGCCCGCGGCCGAUUAGCUAGCUGGUGGGGUAAUGGCCUACCAGGGCAUCGAUCGGUAGCUGGUCUGAGAGGA
rnacentral:rRNA from 1 species